AAACUGCUUGAAAAAUGUAUAUUUAAUGAGGAAUACUUCAAUACUCCAUAUAAAUCUUGACCAUUUAUUUUUCUUAAUAGAUGGUUUAAAUUUAAUAUGAUUCUAGAUGUGACCUGCUAUUGAAGCAUAGGUACCAUUCACCAGGUACCCAUUUAAAGGGUAUUUUAGUCUUUAUAAAAUAGUUUGGUCCACAAAACCGGUUUUAUCCAACUAAGAAUAUUGUGACCCUCUUAAAUACCUACAACAAUAGUUGAAUUUUAAAUUACAAUCAAACAGUAAAUUUAAAUUCAAAACAACAUAAAAUUAAAUUUAAAUUCAAUAUUUUUUUGAGAUGGAUACUUAAUAAAUUGGGUAUCAUCUAAUUUGGUAAGUUAUCAAAGUAAAUAAGAUAUUUAAUAUUUAAAGGAUACUGACAAAUUUGGUAUAUACUAAUUUUUUUUUCAAUAUCGUCAUGUUAAUUAAUUCAAAUCGGUAACCUGUUCAACAGGUUACUUCAUGUAAAUUCCAACUAUACCCUUUACUAAUUAAGGAAUUAAAUUUUAAUACUUGUGGU
rnacentral:lncRNA from 1 species